rnacentral:rRNA from 1 species
CAUCAGGAAGAAAGCUUGCUUUCUUUGCUGGCGACCGGCGCACGGGUGAGUAACACGUAUCCAACCUGCCCUUUACUCGGGGAUAGCCUUUCGAAAGAAAGAUUAAUACCCGAUAGCAUAAUGAUUCCGCAUGGUUUCAUUAUUAAAGGAUUCCGGUAAAGGAUGGGGAUGCGUUCCAUUAGGUUGUUGGUGAGGUAACGGCUCACCAAGCCUUCGAUGGAUAGGGGUUCUGAGAGGAAGGUCCCCCACAUUGGAACUGAGACACGGUCCAAACUCCUACGGGAGGCAGCAGUGAGGAAUAUUGGUCAAUGGGCGCUAGCCUGAACCAGCCAAGUAGCGUGAAGGAUGAAGGCUCUAUGGGUCGUAAACUUCUUUUAUAUAAGAAUAAAGUGCAGUAUGUAUACUGUUUUGUAUGUAUUAUAUGAAUAAGGAUCGGCUAACUCCGUGCCAGCAGCCGCGGUAAUACGGAGGAUCCGAGCGUUAUCCGGAUUUAUUGGGUUUAAAGGGAGCGUAGGUGGACUGGUAAGUCAGUUGUGAAAGUUUGCGGCUCAACCGUAAAAUUGCAGUUGAUACUGUCAGUCUUGAGUACAGUAGAGGUGGGCGGAAUUCGUGGUGUAGCGGUGAAAUGCUUAGAUAUCACGAAGAACUCCGAUUGCGAAGGCAGCUCACUGGACUGCAACU